rnacentral:rRNA from 1 species
AAGCGCUUGUGACCAGACUUGCGCCCGGCUGAUCAUCCGGUGUUCUCACCGGUGCACUCUGCCGGGCUCAGGCCAGCAUCGGUUCUCGCGGGGGGACAAAGGCCCAGGGAACGUAGCUCCUCCGGGAGUGUUAUAGCCCUGGGUGCAAUGCCCUCGCGGGGACCGAGGUUCGCGCAUCUGCAAGGAUGCUGGCGUAAUGGUCACCAGCGA